UACGUAGGGCGCAAGCGUUGUCCGGAAUUAUUGGGCGUAAAGAGCUCGUAGGCGGUUUGUCGCGUCUGUCGUGAAAGCUUGGGGCUUAACCCCGGGUCUGCAUUCGAUACGGGCAGGCUAGAGUGUGGUAGGGGAGAUCGGAAUUCCUGGUGUAGCGGUGAAAUGCGCAGAUAUCAGGAGGAACACCGGUGGCGAAGGCGGAUCUCUGGGCCAUUACUGACGCUGAGGAGCGAAAGCGUGGGGAGCGAACAGG
rnacentral:rRNA from 1 species